UAAGUACUCCCUCCGUCCUGAAUUACUUCUUGGAUUUGUCUAUAUACGGAUGUAUCUAUACACGCUUAGUGUUAGAUACAUCCAUAUCUAGAAAAAUCUAAGACAAGUAAUUUAGGACGGAGGUAAUAGUAG
rfam:Hordeum vulgare subsp. vulgare, WGS project CAJW01000000 data, contig: morex_contig_1559376